UACGUAGGGACCGAGCGUUGUCCGGAUUCAUUGGGCGUAAAGAGCUCGUAGGCGGCCACUCAAGUCGAAUGUGAAACCUCGAGGCUCAACCUCGAGCCUGCAUUCGAUACUGGGCGGCUAGAGUCUGGUAGGGGGAUCUGGAAUUCCUGGUGUAGCGGUGGAAUGCGCAGAUGUCAGGAGGAACACCGGUGGCGAAGGCGGGAUCCUGGGCCAGUACUGACGCUGAGGAGCGAAAGCGUGGGGAGCGAACAGG
rnacentral:rRNA from 1 species